ACAGCAUCUGAGAUGCCUUGCAGCUAAGUGGAGCAUGCAAAUGAUUCCCACUGGAGAGGAGAGUGGAAAACAAAACAAAAAAAACAAAGCCAUCACCAGUCCAUUUAAUGUUCCGGUGACGUUCCUGUGUGGUGGGAAGAACAUUGCCUUCUCAAGAUGUCCCUGGAUUCUGUCACUGUUUUGGAAUACAUGAUAGAAGAAGUUUAAGUUUGUAAAUGGAAAUUUAUGACUGGGAUAAAAUAACUCCUUGUUGCUUCUCUCCUUUCUGUGACAAAAUAUCCAACAAAAGCAACUUCAGGGAGAACAUGUUUAUUUUGUGUCAUCGUUUGAGGAUACAGACUAUCAUGACAGAGAAACCAGGCUACCUGGAGCUUGAUGCCCCUUGCUACAAUGCAUCUACAAUCAGAAAACAGAGAGAAGAAUACUGAUAUUCAGCUAGAUUUCUUCUUUAUACCAUUGUGUGUUCUGCCCAUAGUCAGGGUGGGUCUUCCUACCUCCCUGUUAUUCUGUAAAUGCCCCUAUAAACAUACUCAGAAGC
rnacentral:lncRNA from 1 species